UACGUAGGGGGCUAGCGUUGUCCGGAUUUAUUGGGCGUAAAGAGCGUGUAGGCGGCCAGGUAGGUCUGCUGUGAAAACUCGAGGCUCAACCUCGAGACGUCGGCGGAAACCAUCUGGCUAGAGUCCGGAAGAGGAGAGUGGAAUUCCUGGUGUAGCGGUGAAAUGCGCAGAUAUACAGGGAAGAACACCCGUGGCGAAGGCGGCUCUCUGGGACGGUACUGACGCUGAGACGCGAAAGCGUGGGGAGCGAACAGG
rnacentral:rRNA from 1 species